rnacentral:rRNA from 1 species
AGCUCUCUGCUAAAGCUAAAUGCUGAAGUAUGGAGGGUGAAGCCUGCCCGAUGGUUGUAUCUGAAAAGGUUGGCUAAAGUCAACUUUAUAAGGGCAAUUGAAUGGCCGCGGUAACACUGACCGUGAUAAUGUAGCGUAAUCAAUAGCCAAUUAAUUGUUGGCCGGUAUGAAUGGCAUCACGAAGGCCCCACUGUCUUAAGAGGACUCUCCAUGAAAUUGAAUUCGUAGUGAAGAUGCUACGUCCAUAUUGUAAGACGAAAAGACCCCAUUGAGCUUUACUAAAGACUUGUAUGGCUCGAAUAACUUAAAUAAAAAGUUUAGAUAAUGUGGGAUCCGUUUUUGGUUAAUGAAACACCACUCUUUUAUUUUAAGAGAGCUAACCUUGUAGGGAUAAUGCAAGUUGGAUAGUUUGGUUGGGGCGACCACCUUUUAAAAGGUAACGAAGGUGAGCUUAAGGUCCGUAGUUAAUAGCUAGUGGCCUGACUGCAAGGGGGACAUCCCGAGCAGACACGUCCUUAGGGAUGUGGGUUAUAAUGACCCGUCAUCUUAGAGUGGAAUAGUUGACGAUCAACGAAUAAAAGCUACCAUGGGGAUAACAGCGUUAUAUCGUUAGAGAGCUUUAUCGACGACGAUGUUUGCGACCUCGAUGUUGAAUUGCGGCACCCUGGGGUGCAGCCGCCCCCAAGGGUUGGUCUGUUCGUCCAUUAAAGCCGUACA